GCAUGGCUGGAGGUCACGUGACUGGCAGGCAGCUGGAUGUCGAGGGAGGAGGUGUAGUCACCAACAAACACGCCCUUGUUCUGCCAGGUGUCCAGGAACACAACUGCUGAAGGAGACAGCGAU